GCCUUCGUGGUGUAGUGGUUAGCACGCUCGGCACGUAUUCGAGAGGUCCGUGGUUCGAAUCCCGGCGGUGGCA
rnacentral:tRNA from 1 species